rnacentral:misc_RNA from 1 species
GGGGAAUCUUAUGCUGAAAGAGAAUUGGCAAACGGAGGAUUUCGAAGUAUGUAACACCUUUUCCAUUAAUAUUAGUUUCGUCAUAAAACAGACAAUUUACACGGAGACUUUAAAUUUUCUAAUGUAUAUCUUACAAAUAUGCCUGUCAUAUACAAUUUUGCCAACACUUUCUUUCGAUUUAACCACUAUUAUUCCUUCACCCAUAAAAAUGUAUUUAUUUGCUUGUUUUUUUUUUUUAAUUCAAAAUAUAAAAAUAUGACUGAUGAUAAAGAUCCAAUCCGAAAUCUAAUCAAUUAACAAUUAUCAACAGCUUACACCAAUUUAUUGUUUAACGUGACUUGCUAAGGUAUUUCAUUAAUUUUGUACAUAUAACUAUGUCACCAUAGUAGAUGUAUUCAACCAUCGCAAAUAUUUUUUUUCCAAAAUGUGAUAGCUAGAAAUAUCCCCUGUAUGGUCUAAUCACAGCCCUAUAUUUCCUGCAAGUUGAGAUAAAUUGAAUUUUAUAAUAAAGUUUCUCAAACAGAUUAUAAUAUAUAAUCCGGAGCCGCCUUAAAAUUUUACAUUAAUAAUUUAAAAAUCAUAUUAUACAUGAAUGAAUAAAUAAGAUAAAAUCAUUUUUUGUUCUCAUUGACUAUCACAGCGUUUAGAUCAAGUUCUUGGGGAAAGGUUUGCUUGGUUACGAAAUCUUGUAUUGACGGUUAAAAAUUUGGAAGACGGUGUGAGGGAAUACUCGAACAGAUAGGAGAUUGCCUUUCCACUUUCAAGCCUCCCCAAGUGCUGAUUUUAUGGUGCUUGUCAGAAGAUAUAUCAUCAGAAAAGAGUUUCAAACAGUGUCUGGAUCAGAAGCAUUUGAUUGCAUGUACGCCAGACGUGUCACUUUGAAGCAGACGAGUCCUGCACUAGUUAGAUGUAGACAAAGGAUUCAAAUUCGGAGAAUAAAAGAAAGAGGACAAAGGGACAAUUAAUUUUCCGUAAAAAAUGCCAUUUGUAAAAGUGUGUUUACUUGAACAGGUGUAUAGCAAUGAGUUUCAGAGAGGACAUAAUUUCAUAAGAUUGGAGAAUUGUAAUCAUUCUGAAAUAAAUAAAUCAUUUUCAAUC